ACAUCUCACUUUGUAACUUUCUUUUACAAAAUCCCCUAGAAUUCUCUCUCGUUUUACUCCUGCUAUGUGUCUAGUCCAUCAUUAUUUUCUUUAAGAUUGUCUUGAACUCCGAUACCAUGUUAAGUAAAAAUAACAACUCCCCGCAUCCUCUAUUUGAGGAUUCGAGCAUGGCUGAUGAUAAUGAGCUUGUCAGCAGAAAGAAAGAACAGAAUUCCCAUAUUAAUGUGGGAAGUAUGUGUGGGAAGAGGAGCGGAAAAAGCUGUAGAGCCACCUGAUCGAUCUGAGAAGAGGAGCGGAAAAAGCUGUAGAGCCACCUGAUCGAUCUGAUUGUGCUUGAGAAGCACGAGGAGUCUCCGAAUAUGAUUUUGUAAUCACCACCUAUUCAAUCGUAGAAGAUGAAUAUCGAAAAAAUGUGAUACACAAGUUCCAGUAGUGCUUGUAUAGGUUUGAAAUUAUUAAACUAGCAGAAGAUGUAACAUGUUUAUUAAUAUAAAAAUAUAUUGUAAUAAUUAAAUGUUGGUUCUUUGUA